rnacentral:rRNA from 1 species
CCCAAGAGAUCGGGAUAACACCUGGAAGCAGAUGCUAAUACCGGAUAACAACAGAUGAUGCCUAUCAACUGUUUAAAAGAUGGUUCUGCUAUCACUCUUGGAUGGACCUGCGGUGCAUUAGCUAGUUGGUAGGGUAACGGCCUACCAAGGCGAUGAUGCAUAGCCGAGCUGAGAGACUGAUCGGCCACAUUGGGACUGAGACACGGCCCAAACUCCUACGGGAGGCAGCAGCU